CAAAUGUCAUGUGCAUUAAGGCAGAAAAAAGUUCCAAGUAGAUGCCUGAAGGCUGUUACUAUAAUUGGACGCUGAGUGGGAAAAGUAAGAUUCACAUUUCAAUGGUCAGCCGUCAGCAGCUGGAGAGGCCCUUGAGUCCCCUACCUUCAUCCCUGAUGUCACCUGUGAUAUAAACCACAAGUUACCUCUUAAUGGCUUGUGAACAGAACUCACUUACAAAGCUGGAAGACGUCAUCUCCAAAAACGCCAGUUUCUCCGCAACUGAUCAUAGCCUCAUGAACCUCCUUGCUUUGUCACUUCUUGAACCCCACUCCUAGCAAACAUUUUCUGGAAAAGAGAAGCAAAGAAUGUUUUCUCUAACUCGUCAGAGCUGUGUUCUCCAACUUCUCCUAGUCCACAAUGAAUAGGAAGAAUGCUACUGUUCUACAAGGAAUGAAAACUUCCCUGAAUUCAGAAAAGUUCCAGAAAAUCUGCAUGGUAGUUCAACAAAUGACAACUCCUACAUAUCAGAGAGUUCCAAAGUAAUUCAGUGCCUGCUGCUAAAAGAUUGCAAGAGAGGCUGUGGAGCUGAAAGUUGAACGUCACUGCAAGUUCGGCUCAGAAUAUUUCAGAGGCUGGGCUUCAAUUCUUGUACUAUCUCUUCCUUAUGAUGGUUACUAUGAACGGUGCCAGUUUGGAAGCUUAACAAAAAUUUUCAGGCACGAUUCUAACAUAAAUCAUAUAUAAUAAUAAAUAUAAUCAUCAUAUAAUAAUAUUCCCAAUUAAAUUGGAUUUUUAACCUUUCAAAUAAUUGACCAUAUAGUAUAUCUCCUGGAACUUCUGUUAUCUAAUAGCCUGAAAUAACCAUUCUUAAGUCAAUCCUUAUACAUAAUUUUAGAUGAAAAUAUUUCACUCUAAUGUCAUUUCACUAGUAAAAUGUGCCAUAUAAUAUAUUUUAUUAACUGCGAAUUCAAUGCCAUUUGUAUUUUAGGUAAACUACUGAUGAAAAAACAAAACAAAACAAAACUACCCAGGGAAGCUAUUCAAUGCCCUGUGCAAUGAGACAUUCUCAGAGAGAAUCAUGAUAAAGAAAAGAUGUGGCUGAAUAGCAUUAGGCAUGGAUCCAAAAUUCAUUCACAUAGUUUGGUGAUUUCAUUUGCAAUUCCAGGAAGUUAGUUUGUGGUAAAUCUUUGUUCUUAUAUUCCAUCAGAUAUUUUUAAAAUUGGAAAAGCCUCUGAGAAAUGACAUAGAGAAUUAAUGAUACCUCAAUACACUCUUGGCAAGUAAGGAAACAGAUCUGAAUAAUUAUCACCCAUUCCAG
rnacentral:lncRNA from 1 species